UGGGGAAUAUUGGGCAAUGGGGGAAACCCUGACCCAGCAACGCCGCGUGAGGGAAGAAGGUUUUCGGAUUGUAAACCUCUGUCCUUGGUGAAGAAAAAAAUGACGGUAGCCAAGGAGGAAGCCCCGGCUAACUACGUG
rnacentral:rRNA from 1 species